rnacentral:rRNA from 1 species
UACGUAGGGUGCAAGCGUUAAUCGGAAUUACUGGGCGUAAAGCGUGCGCAGGCGGUUUUGUAAGUUUGUCGUGAAAUCCCCGGGCUCAACCUGGGAAUGGCGAUGAAGACUGCAAGGCUAGAAUCUGGCAGAGGGGGGUAGAAUUCCACGUGUAGCAGUGAAAAUGCGUAGAGAUGCGGAGGAACACCGAUGGCGAAGGCAGCCCCCUGGGCUAACACUGACGCUCAGGCACGAAAGCGUGGGGAGCAA